AUUGAACGCUGGCGGCAGGCCUAUCACAUGCAAGUCGAGCGGAUGAAGGGAGCUUGCUCCUGGAUUCAGCGGCGGACGGGUGAGUAAUGCCUAGGAAUCUGCCUGGUAGUGGGGGAUAACGUCCGGAAACGGGCGCUAAUACCGCAUACGUCCUGAGGGAGAAAGUGGGGGAUCUUCGGACCUCACGCUAUCAGAUGAGCCUAGGUCGGAUUAGCUAGUUGGUGGGGUAAAGGCCUACCAAGGCGACGAUCCGUAACUGGUCUGAGAGGAUGAUCAGUCACACUGGAACUGAGACACGGUCCAGACUCCUACGGGAGGCAGCAGUGGGGAAUAUUGGACAAUGGGCGAAAGCCUGAUCCAGCCAUGCCGCGUGUGUGAAGAAGGUCUUCGGAUUGUAAAGCACUUUAAGUUGGGAAGAAGGGCAGUAAGUUAAUACCUUGCUGUUUUGACGUUACCAACAGAAUAAGCACCGGCUAACUUCGUG
rnacentral:rRNA from 1 species